UACGUAGGUGGCAAGCGUUGUCCGGAUUUACUGGGCGUAAAGAGCGCGCAGGCGGUCGUUUAAGUCGAAUGUGAAAGCCCCCGGCUCAACUGGGGAGGGUCAUUCGAUACUGGUCGACUUGAAGGCAGGAGAGGGAAGUGGAAUUCCGGGUGUAGUGGUGAAAUGCGUAGAUAUCCGGAGGAACACCAGUGGCGAAGGCGACUUCCUGGCCUGUUCUUGACGCUGAGGCGCGAAAGCUGGGGGAGCAAACGGG
rnacentral:rRNA from 1 species